rnacentral:rRNA from 1 species
UGUCUCACGCCCGCCAUUUUCCCGUCAUCAGAUUCUGGCACGCCCGGUAUGGAGGGACAUGUCCAGCAAUUUGUCACUCUCCGCUUUGGCAACCUCUGGCUAGAUGUGCCUAUUGGUCCGCUUGUGGCUGCAUUUAGCAAGAGUUUGGAAACAACAACUACAUCCCCAACUAAGCCAGAAGAAAAGGAAGUCUCUUCUGCACUGAAGGAAGGGUUUACUCCUGUUCUCACAAAGUCAGCAAAGAGAAGGAUGCGUGCAGCUGCAAGAGCAUCUAAAGAUCAGCAUGUACGCGAAGCUUCUUCAUCUACUUCAGUUCCUCCUAGUUUCACAAGGAUGUCACCUACCAAGGUCAUGAGCCAUGAGAUACCAUUAAAGGUUGUUCGCAUGACACCCGAAGAGUGGCCCGUUCUUGCAAAAUGUACGGGAUCACUAUAG